GCACUUGGUCGGAAACCAAGGCACUAGAAGGAG
rfam:Eggerthella sp. CAG:298, WGS project CBHI01000000 data, contig: 29